GAGUUAUGGAAGGGGCUCACUUCAGUCCAGUCCGUGGCGGUAGAAGAUGGCUGAGACUCAGCUGCUGACUCGUUGGCUCGAGAGCUCACAAUUAAGAUUGAUAUCAGUGCUUAGUUAAGGUGGUGUGCUUCUGAUCCAACGAUGCAGGAGCUGCAUUCAGUCGUUACUGUCACGUCUUGGACUGAAGGGGCCUCUUCAUAUUCUGCAU
rnacentral:pre_miRNA from 1 species